UACACUUUUAUAAUUACAAUAUAUUCUUAUUACCAUUUCUUCAUGCAGAACCCACUACUCAGCAAUUGUAUGUGGUCUAAAAGGCAGCUGUGUAGUUGCCGAUGGUCAGUUCCAGUUCAGAGGAAUCACGUCCGUCUUGCAGGAACUUCAUUGGUUGCCAGACAUGAUUUUUUCAAGGGGGAACACCUGUCAGCUUUGGAAGCCAUAUUGACACCAGAUGCUUUCAUACUGCCACAUUCUUGAGCCUGGGAAAAUGGGAAGGGGGAUUUCUUGGAGUGUAUGUAUAAUAGCAUUCUUCUUCUAAGUCAAGGUCAUGUUAUUCUGCACCUGGGUGAGGGGAUGUCUCAAGUUGGGACGGAUGGUGAUUGGGGCAUGUGAUGCGAUGAUGGGUG
rnacentral:lncRNA from 1 species